AUAAAAUAUAGGUCCUCUGGAUUAGACCUUUUAAUGGUUAAUGACAAAAGACUGAAUAUUCAGCACUGCAGAGCAACUCGACUCGACUCAAAUACUUUUGAUCACGCUGCAUUAUGCCAGGUUGUGGCCUUAGCCUCAUGGGGGUUUGGAGCCUAUCUCAUCUGACUUUCGCCACCCUGGACUAAUUGCCAGUCAGCCACAGCACAGACACAGAACAUUCACACUCUGUCUGUGUGGGAACUGAAGCCACAGAAGACAAAUGCAACCCUACACCAUCUGUGGUUUUGGCACUAUCCGAUAUGAAGUUCCCUGGCCAAGGUGUGUCUCAUCAUAUGAUCCACCAAAGAGCCCUGCAAGAAUGUUGAUACAAAAAAGAAUCUGCCUCAGCUCGGCAUCUCUUCGCUGGAGCUCGAGUAUCUCCUGUUCCAGGCGCUCCACGUAGCCGUCGGCUUGGGACAUGGCCGCCUGCAUGUUGGUUGUUAUCAGCUGAUGGAUUUCAGCCUUCCAGCGCUC